CGGGGUGUAGCUCAGCCAGGUAGAGCGCGCGGUUUGGGGCCGCGAGGUCCCCGGUUCGAAUCCGGGCACCCCGACCA
rnacentral:tRNA from 1 species